GGCCCAACACUACCCUAGACGUUGCAGCUGCGUUGAUGUGGGUCCGUCUCGAGAGAUCGAUAGCAACCAUUUGUAGGUAAAAAGUGUGUGUGUGUGUGAGUGUGUGUGUGUGUGUGUGAGUGUGUGUGUGUGUGUGAGAGAGAGCGUGCUGGCUUCAAUUGCCACCAUGUUAAGGCCAUCAGGGUGUACGUGUAAAUUCGCGACGAAAUUGUGCCGAGCAGGGGAUUUUUUUGCUUUAUUUUUUUGCGCAAAAACACUUGGGGAAGUUCUCUUCGAGAGCAUCGUUUCUUAUCUUAUCGCUGAGGUUCGCUGUAUGCAAACAACACACCCGGUGUGACGGUGCGCACUUCCGAUGGGCCUGUGGUGGACCCGUUGCGAAAGUGUCCGCGCUCCAGCUGGGUCAGUCAGUCUGUACCCGUGCCUCUUGCCGCCGAGGAAUCUCUCUCGCGCUUCCGUGGUUUUUAGUGCCUUAGAUUACAAUUGUUCUCUCUGUCCUGUUUCUCUCUGUUUUGUUUACCAUUUGCGCCCUAUUCGCUUUUGCGGCCAUGGUGCGGUACAGUGCGGCGCUGGUGCUGCUGCUGGUCGUGGUGGUGUUGAUAAGCAGCGUGCCGGCACAGGCUACCGGGGCCGACCGCGCGGCCAUCCUGUCAACGCCACGGUCGCCGCGCCGGGUUAUCUUCUACAAGCCGGAACGUGACCAGAACGACACUAAGACUGUCAACAAGUCGAACAUUUUCGACUCGCCCAAGCUCUGCCAGCCCGGUUAUCAGCUCGAUCGGCACUCCCGGUGCCGUCGAGUGAUGGGUUAACUCCUCACACUUACAAACACACCUACACACAUAUACAAACCUACACACACACAAAUACCAUUCUCAUUCACUUCAAUACCUGACAGUGUGUAUGCAUGCGUCAACGGGCUUGGGAUUUCGUCCGGCUCUACUCGCAAGACAACGUUUCACUACCAACGCUGUCAAAGAGUCGGGCAGCGCUGCAUAAAACCAACCAGCAACUAGGAGUCCGGCAAACCUCACAACACCUUCAAGAAUGAGUGCACUGGGAACACGUUUGGGAGUGCAGCUUUCGGUGCUACUGCUGCUGCUCCUACUGCUGCCACCAUCAACCAGCGCGGUCAGAGUGAUCUUCCGUCGCCCGGAGAGCUCCACGGGCAGUGCCGCCGCCGCCGACGUCAACAAUGCCAACAUACUCCGGUCGCCUAAUCUGGUCGGCAGCAGCUGCGGCAACGGCCAGGUGACGGAUAGUCGUGGUAUCUGUCGCAAUACUAUAUCGUUUUGAUGCGUGGCACCUCCCUCCCCAAGGGUGUCGGAAAACGACGGCUAGUUCCUGGAAAGCUGCCCCAACUUCCCCAACCUCCGUACAUCUAUAGACAGCAUUAUCGUUCGUAGCUGGAGGUGCUUAAAUUUUAAGAACCGGUGACCGUGCAGCGCAGAUUAGCAGCUGAUAGAUAUUGGAUCCUGCGAUGUUUGCGUCUUCGACAAAACAAAGACAAAAAAGACAAAACAAACAGCAUCGUUGUACCAGUUCUUCCAAGACGCACGACGCAAGCUGGAGCUCAAAAAGCAGACCUACUUCAAACCCUAUUCGUCUAUAAGCCUCACGUUACCCCUAUCAACUGUUAUCAAUUUACGGCACCGUACGUCCAGUGCUUCUGAAUAAAAGCUACCAUCGUUCUAACUACUCUCGGCGUAUCUCGCUCACCUUGGAUCCAGCUCCAGGCCGUUUUGGGGCAUGUUUCCUAUCAUCAUCACCGAUAAACGUUCUUCACACUCAAUCGUACUCUGUGUGCAUCAUUUGUGCUGCGUUAUUGACAUACCGGUGCUAUGGUUUUCCUACGUAGUACCGCACAAUAUGAACCGAUUCUGUUUCAUAUCUUCUGAUGUACAGUGUGCAGACAAAUGCUCUUCCAGCAACUCUUCCAACGCACCAACUACGAUCAAACAAAACCCGCACGUUGGAGCUUUGCCUACGGUGAAUUAUUACUCUAUUUUCGUAAUAUUACCCCGCACGUUCGUGCUCGCCACUGACCAUCCCAAGCAACGGUGAUGCUAAAACAUGCAUCCGACCGGGUUCGAAAAGAUCUAUUGCAUCAGGGGUUUGGUACGGUUUUGGUUCGAGGACCUUUGCUGCACCUUUUCCUCCCCUUGCUGUCGCAUGCCCCAUACAACGUUCCAUGUAUCCACUACCCAUUUCCGAGCGAGCGACAGAACGGGAUGUUUGAUUUUGACCAGUCACACUGCAUAAAUCAAAAUGUUAUUAGAAUGCUUUAUGCCGUCGCAAACACGCUGGCGCAAACACAGACGGCAUAUCGAAGCUGGGUACGCUGGAAUAAGGGCCGGACAUUUACGGAAAAACGGAAAGGUGUUCAUAAUGCAAGUUCUCACAAAUUUACUUUCGAUGCUAGCUUUUAAAAUGUUAGUAACACAAUAUUAACAUUCAUAACAGGGCAUACAAAUGCCAAAAAUGGGUAACAGUAAGGUACAACUCUUAGCGUUACGGUGGCGCAAUGCGUUACGUCUGUGGGUCUCAAGCCGUUGCAACAUUUUCACUGCACGCUUGUUUUUGCCGUCGUUAUAGGGCAAUUUGGUGUGCGAUGGAGGGUGUUGCGACUUAAUUAAAUAGUUAAUUUUUCAAACAAAUUAUGAGCGCAUUCCGGUAAAAGAUGUCAAUACGAUACCACUUCACGAAACAAGAUAUUGUCAUGGACCUAUGAAAACUAUACGCUAAAAUGACCGCAGUUGAAGGUAUAACUGAUGAUUAGCUGUAUUAGCAUCCUGAAAAAUGAAUCCAGAAAACGACUUUAAUCUUAUCCCUAUCGAGAGUUUGUGACCGAUUUUUGUUGCAAGAAAGGAUACAACUGGCGUUGCAAAAAAAAACAGUGGACCCCUCAUAAAAAGUACUCCGUUACAACGAUUUUUUUCUCAUAACGAGCAACCUAAAUGCUUAAUAUCCUCUCAUAACUAGUAAAAUCUCACAUAACGAACUAUAUGAUUUGUGUUCCUAAACUGACAUUUGGAAGUGUUUCGUAUGACUACAAGUGUGCUGUACAACGUGUCGAAGAACAUUUGCUAAAAAAUCAAUUGUGAUGAAACUUGCUUACUUUGGAAAAAAGAUUAGCAGGAAUUCUCUUUCUCCUGACUCUUACUAGACGUAAACUGAUACAAGGUCGUUUUAAUAGUUAUUUUGCAGCAAUACAAAUAGUGAUUUGGAAUUGUUUCCUCUUAUGUCUGCAAGUAUCAUCCGGGCGAAGCGGUGGCUCUACACCAGUAAUAGAAAAUAGCGGAAGGAAAUAGCGAACUACAAACAUUAAAACUAUAAAUGGGGCCAUUCACGAUUCUAGUCAUUUUUUUGUAUGGAGUUUGACAGUUGGAUGCUGAAAUCAGGUAAACACUCCACACAAAAAACUAGCCUGCAAUUUUUAGUCUAGAUUAUUAGCCUCAAAGCUAGAAUUAGAUUCGAGCACCUGUUCGAAAACACGGUGUUGUUUACAUUUACCCCAAGGUGCAUUAAAGAGCUCACGUGGUGGAAUCUAGAAUCAAAGUGUAUGUAGUGCAGGUGGUCUCAUAGUAAGUUUUUUAAAACCAAAUUGAAAUAUCACUUUUUGACAGGAUGGGCGAAAACUUUUGUUCAAACAAACUUUCUCAAGGCUUGACGAAUACUCAAAACACUCUUAGUGUACUAGUUACUCUCAUGUACCAUUGCUAAUGCGUGAAACUAAAUACAUUUUAGGUACUUUUUCACUGUACCGGACAUUGGCUUGAAGGAAAGAGGGAUUUUAAAUGUUUGUGGAAUGUCUAUAAUGUGAGUGCAUACUAAAUAAUGCAACGAUUUGUUUUUCAUUUGCAGAUUCGAUUUCCGAUGAAUUUUGUUUCCAAACAUCUCCUAAAGAAUUUUUUUGGUUACAUCCGCUUGAUAACACCUACAUUUGCGGCCCUUUUCGGUUGAACUUCGGUACAACAAGCUUAACAAGAUAAACACUUCUCUGAAACAGCAACGCGUUCUCAGAAGAAACACGGGCGAUGGCGGCAAGAUCGUCCGACCGUGCGCCAGUGCGGUAACGUAUUGCGCUUAUCUCGUCACACUAACGAAACAUAUGCACCGUCACACAAACGAAUACAUAACGUUUCGGUACGCUUAGCGGCAGCCAUCCGUGACCGAAACCCGUGCAACGGCAGUCGAAGCUUUCCGUGCCGGUCGCGUACGUAAAUGUCAAUUAACCGCAAAUCUAGUGUGGAUUUCACCAAACCCACGGCCUACUGGACGGGCGUGGGAGUACUGCCCUGUGCCCGUUGGCAGCAGUGCUAGAAUAAAAACCUCAACCUCAAGCAGCAAAGGGCCGCAGUUCUUGGUCGUCACUGGUGAAUGAAAUGAAUUUAUGUGAGGUUUACGGUUCCUCUCCGGCAUGUAACUGCUGUCGGUGCUCGAUUUUGUUUACUUUCCGCCUGUGCGCACGGUUACAGUACAACACCCCUAGAUCUUGUGUUAGACGUACUCCGACGCGAGCGCUCGCAUGAUCACACUAUUCGUGGUGAUAAAUUAAUAAAUUUGUAAAAACUAACCAAUUCCUCUCUGACCUGACGGGCGGGCAAAGACGUUCCCGCCGGACACCGCAACACCGAUGCUCACGAAGACGAUGAGGGCCGGAACUGAGCCGGAACACCCCGGAAAAGGACCCAGGCUUUCAGACGCUCCGAAUGAAUGUUUGUUUGGGCUUACGGUGCGACUGGUCGUAUGUGAACAUGUGUGUGAUUGUGUAUGGGUCUGUGAAUGUGUGUAUGUGUAAGUAGUGGUGAUGCAUUUACCGCCUUAGAUUUUCUAUCUGCUGCCCGGCCGAGUCGCUUCAAAAGGCUCUUUUCCAAAAUCAACCAUUCCCCCGUACGUGCAGUUUGUCCCCUGUCGGGGUCGGGCGAAAGCUCCACUUCUUUUGGGACCGAGAGCCAAAUGAAAAUGGAUGCCAAUUUCGGGAAGAUACUGGUGGCAGCUGGAGCUAAAUUAUGAUUUGAUGAUUUGCCGAACGGUAACGCUGAAACUUUUUGCCCGCAACCCCGAUUAGCUGCUCGCUCAUUGCGUGACUAGACUGGAUGAGAUAACCUCAAAGUACACAGCUGCGAUCCAGGCGGUCAGCUUGCUUUCACUUAACCCGGUGCCCAAUUUAAUGAGAGCGUCUUCCGUCAAUCGAUUGUACGGUUAAGAAAAUGCUGCUCCAAAAAUAAAUAACGAAAAAAAAUAUAUUACAACGAACGGAUGAAAUGCUGCACGAGAGAUCAUCGAGAGUGAGUGCGGGUCCCGGGCUCACAGUAAGUCACUACGCCAAUUCAUCAAAACGGUAGACUGGUUGAGUUGGCGCUGAUGGUAGCAAUGGCGUCGGAAGCCUCGGGCCUCGGUAUGGAUCCCGCAGACGACAUAAAAGUAACAUUCGCACACAUGCUCGUGGAUCUCACCGGUAACGUGCUUUCGGGAACGCACAGGACCGGCACAUUGCACAAUGGGUAGUUUGGAACAAAUUUCGGGAUAAAACUAUUUUCGCAGAAAUUGUUAGUUUUUAUCGUUUGUAGUCAAGUAUUAUGAUUAAAGUAAAUUACAUUUUAAAUGUAGCUCGCAUUCAUACCACCAGGUGGCACUACAUAAAAUAGUGCUUUAAAGGAACUUUGAUUAGUUUUAUUAAUUUUGUAUCUGUUUUUUUCUUUGAUUUGUUGUUUCUAAUAUUGUAGACAAUUUUAAAAUAUACUUUUGAAGACAAUAUUUUCCGCUUUUUAUAGGACAACAGUAUUCUCUUCACUUUUACUCACAGGUAGUAAGAAUAUUAAAAAUAUACAUACACAACUUAGGUGGAUGCUAUUACAAGCUCCUAACGUCUAGUUCUCAUUUGUAAAGACAUGAAU